CUACGAAAGGUGCAAGCGUUGUUCGGAUUUACUGGGCGUAAAGAGAGUGUAGGUGGUUUAUUAAGUCGGAUGUGAAAUCCCGGGGCUCAACCUCGGAACUGCAUUCGAUACUGAUAGGCUAGAGUUUGGGAGGGGUAAGCGGAAUUCCGUGUGUAGCAGUGAAAUGCGUAGAUAUACGGAGGAACACCUGAGGCGAAGGCGGCUUACUGGACCAAUACUGACACUGAGACUCGAAAGCGUGGGUAGCAAACAGGAUUAGAUACCCCAGUAGUCC
rnacentral:rRNA from 1 species